AACUCAGCUAUAAAGAAAUAUAUAACAAGAAAAUUGGCAAGCUCUAUGAAGAAAAAUAAACCAGAAUUUAAGGCGAUUGGACGAAAGCAGAACGCCUGCCCCUUCGUAGACCCAGCGUACGUACAACGCUCACACCACCACGCCGUACGCUGCGUUAGCGGAAGUUUAAUGGCCCCAUUGGUGGGAUGCGUGGCCAAUAAAGGGCAAGAAUAAGGCGGAUUCCGCCUUCCUCGUGGCUGACUGGAUGCAUCCGCUGGUACUGAUUUACGAAGAGAAUGAUCAUGAAGGGCAAAUGGCAGUGAAGCAAGAAGAGCUGGCUUCAGGCUCAGAAGAGAAUGCUGUGCCUCUUCCUCAUGGUUUGCGGUGCCCUGCAUGUUCAGAGAAACUUCUCUAGUAAUGAAUGAACUAUA
rnacentral:lncRNA from 1 species